AUAGCUUUAGGGCUAGCCUCAAGGUGAGAGAUACGGAGGUAGAGCACUGAAUGUCCUAGGGGGUAUUGCACCUACCGAAGACUAUCAAACUCCGAAUGCCGUCAUCUUAUACUUGGGAGUCAGACUGUGGGUGAUAAGAUUCAUAGUCGAAAGGGCAACAGCCCAGAUCGUCAGCUAAGGUCCCUAAAUGUAAGUUAAGUGGUAAAGGAUGUGGGAUUGCACAGACAACCAGGAUGUUGGCUUAGAAGCAGCCACUCAUUCAAAGAGUGCGUAAUAGCUCACUGGUCGAGUGAUCCUGCGCCGAAGAUUUCCGGGGCUAAAACUUACUACCGAAGCUACGGCAUCAGUAAUGAUGGGUAGGGGAGCUUCCCAUACGGGUUGAAGCAUGACCGUAAGGACAUGUGGACAGUAUGGGAGUGAGAAUGUUGGCAUGAGUAGCGAGAUGUGGGUGAGAAUCCCACAGGCCGUAAACCCAAGGUUUCCAGGGGAAGGUUCGUCCGCCCUGGGUUAGUCGGGACCUAAGCUGAGGCCGAAAGGCGUAGGUGAUGGACAACAGGUUGAUAUUCCUGUACUACCGAUAACCGUUUGAGAGAAGGGAUGACACAGUAGGAUAAGCUAAGCACACUGUUGGUUAUGUGUGCCCAAGCAUUGAGGCAGUCAAAGUAGGCAAAUCCGCUUUGAUAAUGCUGGGAUGUGAUGGGGAGCGAAAUUUAGUAGCGAAGUAGCUGAUUUCACACUGUCAAGAAAAGUCUCUAUCGAGGUUAAAGGUACCCGUACCGCAAACCGACACAGGUG
rnacentral:rRNA from 1 species